AACGCUGGCGGCGUGCUUAACACAUGCAAGUCGAACGAUGAAGCCCAGCUUGCUGGGUGGAUUAGUGGCGAACGGGUGAGUAACACGUGAGUAACCUGCCCCCCUCUUCGGGAUAAGCCUUGGAAACGAGGUCUAAUACCGGAUAUUCUCUCACUGCCGCAUGGUGGUGGGUGGAAAGAAUUUUGGUGGGGGAUGGGCUCGCGGCCUAUCAGCUUGUUGGUGGGGUGAUGGCCUACCAAGGCGUCGACGGGUAGCCGGCCUGAGAGGGCGACCGGCCACACUGGGACUGAGACACGGCCCAGACUCCUACGGGAGGCAGCAGUGGGGAAUAUUGCACAAUGGGCGAAAGCCUGAUGCAGCGACGCCGCGUGAGGGAUGACGGCCUUCGGGUUGUAAACCUCUUUCGACAAGGAAGAAGCCUUCGGGUGACGGUACUUGUAGAAGAAGCGCCGGCUAACUACGUGCCAGCAGCCGCGGUAAUACGUAGGGCGCAAGCGUUGUCCGGAAUUAUUGGGCGUAAAGAGCUCGUAGGCGGUCUGUCACGUCUGGUGUGAAAACCCGAGGCUCAACCUCGGGCUGGCAUCGGGUACGGGCAGGCUGGAGUGCGGUAGGGGAGACCGGAAUUCCUGGUGUAGCGGUGGAAUGCGCAGAUAUCAGGAGGAACACCGAUGGCGAAGGCAGGUCUCUGGGCCGUUACUGACGCUGAGGAGCGAAAGCAUGGGGAGCGAACAGGAUUAGAUACCCUGGUAGUCCAUGCCGUAAACGUUGGGCACUAGGUGUGGGGCGGGUUCCACUCGUUCUGUGCCGUAGCUAACGCAUUAAGUGCCCCGCCUGGGGAGUACGGCCGCAAGGCUAAAACUCAAAGGAAUUGACGGGGGCCCGCACAAGCGGCGGAGCAUGCGGAUUAAUUCGAUGCAACGCGAAGAACCUUACCAAGGCUUGACAUACACCGGAAACAUUCAGAGAUGGAUGCCCCGCAAGGUCGGUGUACAGGUGGUGCAUGGUUGUCGUCAGCUCGUGUCGUGAGAUGUUGGGUUAAGUCCC
rnacentral:rRNA from 1 species